AGGACGAACGCUGGCGGCGUGCUUAACACAUGCAAGUCGAGCGGAAAGGCUCCUUCGGGGGGUACUCGAGCGGCGAACGGGUGAGUAACACGUGAGUAAUCUGCCCUUGGCUUUGGGAUAAGCCCCGGAAACGGGGUCUAAUACCGGAUACGACGCACUCUCGCAUGGGAUGUGUGUGGAAAGUUUUUUCGGCCAGGGAUGUGCUCGCGGCCUAUCAGCUUGUUGGUGGGGUAAUGGCCUACCAAGGCUUCGACGGGUAGCCGGCCUGAGAGGGUGACCGGCCACACUGGGACUGAGACACGGCCCAGACUCCUACGGGAGGCAGCAGUGGGGAAUAUUGGACAAUGGGCGGAAGCCUGAUCCAGCAACGCCGCGUGAGGGAUGACGGCCUUCGGGUUGUAAACCUCUUUCAGUACCGACGAAGCGCCGAUGAUGGUGGUGACGGUAGGUACUGAAGAAGCACCGGCCAACUACGUG
rnacentral:rRNA from 1 species